rnacentral:lncRNA from 1 species
UUGUUGCUCCUCCUUCAGUGCUUUUAGAUCUUCUCUGAUUUCAUGAAGGAUGAUGGAGUGCUCUUGAUGUUCCACCCUUAGUUGCUUCCAAUAAUUGUGUGGAAGAAAAUGUAUCCCUUGAGGUAUCUCAGGGAUCUCUUGAUUUGCAGUCAAAUGUUCUACCACUGAGCUAUAGACCCUUGAUGGAAGCUUUUUUCUUCCCUUUCCUCUUUCUAGAGGUUUCUCUGGCCUUAGGUGCCAUCAAUGGUUAUGGAAAAAACAAAAAAACUAUGCUUUUACCACAUCAAACUUAGAAUGUUGCUCGCCCUCGAGC